AGUGAACGCUGGCGGUAGGCCUAACACAUGCAAGUCGAACGGCAGCACAGUAAGAGCUUGCUCUUACGGGUGGCGAGUGGCGGACGGGUGAGGAAUACAUCGGAAUCUACUUUUUCGUGGGGGAUAACGUAGGGAAACUUACGCUAAUACCGCAUACGACCUACGGGUGACAGCAGGGGAUCUUCGGACCUUGCGCGAUUGAAUGAGCCGAUGUCGGAUUAGCUAGUUGGCGGGGUAAAGGCCCACCAAGGCGACGAUCCGUAGCUGGUCUGAGAGGAUGAUCAGCCACACUGGAACUGAGAAACGGUCCAGACUCCUACGGGAGGCAGCAGUGGGGAAUAUUGGACAAUGGGCGCAAGCCUGAUCCAGCCAUACCGCGUGGGUGGAGAAGGCCUUCGGGUUGUAAAGCCCUUUUGUUGGGAAAGAAAAGCAGCAGGUUAAUACCCCGCUGUUCUGACGGUACCCAAAGAAUAAGCACCGGCUAACUUCGUG
rnacentral:rRNA from 1 species